CUCUGCGAUGGUGUAAGGUGCUAAUGUUCGACUUUCCUUACAGGAAUUUGCAACUUAGAUUAGUGAAUUAAUAGGUAGCAAGCAUGGUUUAAACCAGAGGUCUCCAGACAUAUUUGAUAGUGUGUCUCUAUAAUUAAUGGAAUCUGAGCACAUACCACCCCAGCCUGUGCAUGUGUAUUUAGCAAGGAUGUACGUGUAUUACUUCAUGUGAUCAAUAUUAGUAGGGCUUAGUUCCUUUCUUACAUUGUAGAUUAAGAAUUACGAGUAGAAGUUGUAUUUCCUUCCUGUGCCCCAGAGGAUUAUGUUGGGUAUAUCCCAUUUUGGAGAUGACUGAUACAAACUGCUGUAGAGUUUCUACUUUUCAAGUGAAGAUUUUUUUUUGCUUUAUUUAACAUAUUUAUAUUUAGUUGUUUAUGCACUUAAAUUACAGAUAGAACUUUUAAACUGUGAUUUAUGAUAUUUAUACAACUUUAUUGCUAUGCAAAUGAGGACCACAACACUAAAGAUUAGAGUGUAAUCCAGUUCCCUGAUCUGAAGGUGAAGGGCAAUGAAGUGUGUGUUAUCAGAAUGUCUGCUUCUAUGAGUGUGGAGUUAGGGCAGAGGAAGGAGGAGGACCUAAGCUUUGUCAGCUGUCUGAAGGGCUCUUCUGGGAAAGAGGUUCCUACUUGUCUGUAUCUUUCUAGAAAGACCAUUUGGAACCCAGUGGAAGUUACUAGGAGCAAACUUUGCUCAAUGAAGGACAUUUUAAUUUAGGGAUGUAUUGACAGUACAUGCUGAGCUACAGCAGACUCUUGUCCUGUGAUGUACAAACCCGAGUCUCCAGGACUGUGUAAGCAGAGGUUGGAGCUGUUGGAAAUAUGUAGAUAGAUUUCUGCACAGCAGGGAAACCAGGGAAGGUAAUCUCUAACAUGCCUUCCAAUUCUUAAAUCCUGUGAUUUUAUAAUAAUCAAAGAACAAUUACCCAGAAGGCUGGAAACUCAGAAUCCCUUUGCCACCAAGAGUGAUUAUUGACUGCACUCAAAAGUGAGAAGGUUAUGUAAGAGGCAGAGAUUGAAGGACGUUUCCACUCGUCCAGAACUACAAGAAGAAAUCCAAUUUCAACUAGGCAUAGAAACUGUUGGGAGCAUUGGUCACGAUCAAUUGUAUGAAGUGAGUUUGGGGGAAGGUUCUUCCCUUGGAGAUCUUUGCAGAGGGAAGAAAAAAUUAUCCCCCUGGGAAGGUCUGAACUUGACUAAGUCAAGGGUAAGCUAAUCUUACAAAGUCUUUUCCAUUACUCUGUUUCGGUGGCUUAUUACGACCGUUUGCUAUGGUUAAUUAACUGAAACAAAAAAAGAAAGAAAGAAAGAAAAGAAAAGAAAAAGUAAAGAAAAUG